UAAUACGGAGGGUCCAAGCGUUAUCCGGAUUUAUUGGGUUUAAAGGGUGCGCAGGCGGAACUUUAAGUCAGUGGUGAAAUCUUGCCGCUUAACGGUAAAAUUGCCAUUGAUACUGAAGUUCUUGAAUAUGGUUGAGGUAGGCGGAAUGUGUUGUGUAGCGGUGAAAUGCAUAGAUAUGACACAGAACGCCAAUUGCGAAGGCAGCUUACUAAGCCAUGAUUGACGCUGAGGCACGAAAGCGUGGGGAGCGAACAGGAUUAGAUACCCUGGUAGUCCACGCCGUAAACGAUGAUCACUCGCUGUUUGCGAUACACAGUAAGCGGCUGAGCGAAAGCAUUAAGUGAUCCACCUGGGGAGUACGAUCGCAAGGUUG
rnacentral:rRNA from 1 species